GGACUUAGUAAGAGAUGACUUUCCACAGCCAUCCAGCAUGGCACCCAGUGUGCAUGAAGUGCAUCCUGAAUCCAUGCAGCUGCUCUUCCAGAGGAUCUCUGCCUGCUCAUAACUGAAAUCCAAUCAUCAGGAAUUCCAGUGCAGCAGGAUGUUAGAGAAAAUAAACAACAGUCUCCUGAGAGGUUCUACCACUGCUUGACAAAUACAGAGGUUCAAUUCCACCAAACAUUGGUGAAUGAUGGCCCAAUCAGCCUGUACUUCCUUGCUCUCCUGCUGCAAUGUCAUCAACUUCUUCUUUAUAAGAUUCUCCUCCAUCAGGAGCCGGCUGUGCAGGUUACUGUAAGGACACUCUGCAUGAUGUGGCUCAAAGGGAAGAUGUGAGGACACCUUGGGUUCCUCUGAAUGGACAGAGUGAUAUGAAAUGGGCACUGACCAGGCUGAGAAACACUGCUGAGGCCCAUAUUCCAGAAUGCUACAAGAGCGUGCUAGCUCCCAGAAUGAUUCAUGUGACA
rnacentral:lncRNA from 1 species